rnacentral:misc_RNA from 1 species
UAACCAAUCACGCCUGGCGUGGUGUUGGGGCACACGGUUCCGUGGCCCUCAAAAUCAGUGGCGGCGCCGGUAGGCUCUAAGCGUAGUAACUUCUCUCGCUAUAGGGUCCUCCUGGUCGCUCGCCAGAACCCCCCAUUUUUUUUUAAA